rnacentral:rRNA from 1 species
UCCUGGUGGAAAUGGCGAUGUGGACCCACACUCAUCCAUCCCGAACUGAGUAGUGAAACGCAUUUGCGGCGACGAUAGUGAGUCGGUAGCGACUUGUCAAAAUAGCUAUCCGCCAGGGU